rnacentral:rRNA from 1 species
GUGGAAUUCGCCCUUAGAGUUUGAUCCUGGCUCAGGAUGAACGCUAGCGGCAGGCCUAACACAUGCAAGUCGAGGGGUAUAUAGUGCUUGCAUUAUAGAGACCGGCGCACGGGUGCGUAACGCGUAUGCAAUCUACCUAUUGCAGGGGAAUAGCCCAGAGAAAUUUGGAUUAAUGCCCCAUAGUAUUAUUGAGUAGCAUUACUUAAUAAUUAAAGAUUUAUCGGCAAUAGAUGAGCAUGCGUACUAUUAGCUAGUUGGUGUGGUAACGGCACACCAAGGCUACGAUAGUUAGGGGCCCUGAGAGGGGGAUCCCCCACACUGGUACUGAGACACGGACCAGACUCCUACGGGAGGCAGCAGUGAGGAAUAUUGGACAAUGGUGGGAACACUGAUCCAGCCAUGCCGCGUGCAGGAAGACUGCCCUAUGGGUUGUAAACUGCUUUUAUACGGGAAGAAACACCCCUACGUGUAGGGAUUUGACGGUACCGUAAGAAUAAGGAUCGGCUAACUCCGUGCCAGCAGCCGCGGUAAUACGGAGGAUCCAAGCGUUAUCCGGAAUCAUUGGGUUUAAAGGGUCCGUAGGCGGGCUUCUAAGUCAGUGGUGAAAUCCGGCAGCUUAACUGUCGAACUGCCAUUGAUACUGGAAGUCUUGAAUUACUAUGAAGUGGUUAGAAUAUGUAGUGUAGCGGUGAAAUGCUUAGAUAUUACAUGGAAUACCAAUUGCGAAGG